UACGAAGGGGGCUAGCGUUGCUCGGAUUGACUGGGCGUAAAGGGCGCGUAGGCGGCGCGGAUAGUCGGCGGUGAAAGCCCGGAGCUCAACUCCGGGUCGGCCGUCGAUACUUCCGGGCUUGAGCACUGUAGAGGCAGAUGGAAUUCCGGGUGUAGCGGUGGAAUGCGUAGAGAUCCGGAAGAACACCGGUGGCGAAGGCGGUCUGCUGGGCAGUUGCUGACGCUGAUGCGCGACAGCGUGGG
rnacentral:rRNA from 1 species